AACUUCUGCGAAAGCAUCUGCCAAGGAUGUUUUCAUUAAUCAAGAACGAAAGUUAGGGGAUCGAAGACGAUCAGAUACCGUCGUAGUCUUAACCAUAAACGAUGCCGACCAGCGAUUAGGAGACGUUGAAUACAAAACACCACCAUCGGUGCGGUCGUCCUUGGCGUCGGUCUUUCGGGGCCGGCGCGGGGACGGCUUAGCCCGGUGGCACCGGUGAAUGACUCCCCUAGCAGCUUGUGAGAA
rnacentral:rRNA from 1 species